GGCGGCAGGCCCCUGGCACGGCAGACGGAGCGGGCUGAUUUGGGACUCGAGUCCGGUUCUGCCGCUUACUUGCCAGCCGCGUGGCUCCAGGCACGUGCCUUCACGUUUCGGAGCCAGUUUCCUCAUCCAUGAAAAGGCUGAUUGGUACAGGCAGGAGUCCAGGUCCUCUGGGGCAUCUCGUCGAUGUUGUGACAAAACGACACUGAACCACAAGAGGACCUUGACGGAGGACCUGCCGCGCUGGAGUCAGGAGGAUGACACAGGGACUUGCACCUGCCAGGAGUUCAUGGGAGGGAGAGGAGCCCAGUCACUCUGAAACCGUUCUGUGAAUGCGCCCGCUUGUCACUUUGGGCACGAAGGAAGCAGAUGGGAGCCCGUGGAGGGAACCAGGAAGAUAAAGGGAGUCCAAGAAUUCAUUCUUCCCUCUCAGAACAAAUUAAUUAAUGUCUGAGUAAGUCUGAGUCAAGCUCCACUGGAGGGGCUGGAAGCAGGGGAAGGAUUUAAUGCGAAUAAUGAAAGCUCUCCUGGAUUUAGGACUAAACACUUCAAGCUCGGUUAUCUGUUCUCUCCCUCUCUGUUGCUUGGGGGCUAUUGCUGGGCGAUCAGGGCCAGCAUCUAUCCCCUGUCCUUGGAGACCCAGCCGGCUUCCUCUGUUCUAACUCUGGCCCCAGCGAUUGGCAUAAUGUUGCUCUCAGUGGAAAGACACGGCUUGGAGUCUGGGUGGGACCCAGUGUGGGUCCUGGCACCACCGCGAUCCAGCUGUGGCUCUAAGCAAGUCAUCACUCUUCUCUGGGCUGCAGCUCCCUAACUGAGAAAUCGGGAAGCAGGAUCUCAGCCCUGUCUCCCUCACGCGGCUGUUGUGAGGGUGGGGUGUGAUUGUGGAAAUGGCCUGUUUACUCGCCCGACCCUCCCACUCCACCACGCUCCACGGGCCAGAAGUGUGUCUCCUGUUCAUCAUCGUGUUCUCUGCACCUGGAGGAGUCCCUGGCACAGCAGCUCAAUAAACUGUGCAGAAUAAAUCAUUGUGAAAGCGUCUCCUCUGCUGUCAAGUGCCCUACACAGGACUGUGUUUGCUGCGGCCUGGCGUGACUGAUGGCCGGCCGGAGGGAGAGGAAGGAGCCAUGGACCGGGCUGCUCUCCCGCCACCGUCUUCCCACCAGUGGGUGUGGGUCUGUCCUGUCAGGCUCACACUUCGGUCCUUCCGAUUUCCAAAGAAUUCUGAGCUUUCCCUUUCAGCUCUGGCUGGUGUGGCUCGUUGGUUGGGUGUCGUCCUGCAAACCAAAAGGCUGCCAGGUUGGAUUCCCAGUCAGGGCACACAUCUAGUUGAGGACUAGGUCCCCAAUUAAAGGUGUGCAAAAGGCAACCAAUCGAUAUUUCUCUUGCACACUGAUGUUUCUCUCCCUCUUUCAUCCCUUCUUUCCCCUCUAAAA